UACGUAGGGUGCGAGCGUUGUCCGGAAUUAUUGGGCGUAAAGAGCUCGUAGGCGGUCUGUCGCGUCGGUCGUGAAAACUUGGGGCUUAACCCUGAGCUUGCGGUCGAUACGGGCAUGACUGGAGUUCGGUAGGGGAGACUGGAAUUCCUGGUGUAGCGGUGAAAUGCGCAGAUAUCAGGAGGAACACCGAUGGCGAAGGCAGGUCUCUGGGCUGUAACUGACGCUGAGGAGCGAAAGCAUGGGGAGCGAACAGG
rnacentral:rRNA from 1 species